rnacentral:misc_RNA from 1 species
GAUGAAGAACGCAGCGAAAUGCGAUAAGUAAUGUGAAUUGCAGAAUUCAGUGAAUCAUCGAAUCUUUGAACGCACAUUGCGCCAGCCAGUAUUCUGGCGGGCAUGCCUGUUCGAGCGUCAUUUCAACCAUCAAGCCCCCGGCUUGUGUUGGGGACCUGCGGCUGCCGCAGGCCCUGAAAACCAGUGGCGGGCUCGCUAGUCACUCCGAGCGUAGUAAUACAUCUCGCUCAGGGCGUGCUGCGGGUUCCGGCCGUUAAAAAGCCUUAUUUACCCAAGGUUGACCUCGGAUCAGGUAGGAAGACCCGCUGAACUUAAGCAUAUCAAUAAGCGGAGGA